UGUGUAUGAUAUCUUAUCGUUAUCAAUGAAGGCCAUUGAUCGUACUGUGAGUGGAACGAUGACGAUCUGCUCACCUUAGGUGCUUGUCGUCGAUGGUGCGGUGUGAGGAUGGGUAAUGCCAA
rfam:Anoxybacillus sp. BCO1 LR68_contig000023, whole genome shotgun sequence.